AUUGAACGCUGGCGGCAUGCUUUACACAUGCAAGUCGAACGGUAACAGGCCGCAAGGUGCUGACGAGUGGCGAACGGGUGAGUAAUGCAUCGGAACGUGCCCAGUCGUGGGGGAUAACUACUCGAAAGAGUAGCUAAUACCGCAUACGAUCUGUGGAUGAAAGCGGGGGACCGUAAGGCCUCGCGCGAUUGGAGCGGCCGAUGUCAGAUUAGGUAGUUGGUGGGGUAAAGGCUCACCAAGCCAACGAUCUGUAGCUGGUCUGAGAGGACAACCAGCCACACUGGGACUGAGACACGGCCCAGACUCCUACGGGAGGCAGCAGUGGGGAAUUUUGGACAAUGGGCGCAAGCCUGAUCCAGCAAUGCCGCGUGCAGGAAGAAGGCCUUCGGGUUGUAAACUGCUUUUGUACGGAACGAAACGGCUCUGGUUAAUACCCGGGGCUAAUGACGGUACCGUAAGAAUAAGCACCGGCUAACUACGUG
rnacentral:rRNA from 1 species